GCGCCGGGAGUCUAGCAAUCUCAGCUCCCGCCCACCGCGCCCGCCCGCCCUCCGCGGUCACGCCUCGGACGGCGAGCACCUGCCAAGCAGUUAAAGAAGUUUUUUCUCUAGUCUUGGUGAACCAUGGCACUACCUCCAACCACCAGCAAUCAUAUCUCCUUGAAGCCUAAAGAGAUGACAUGAUACUUUAUAUGGAAAACCCAAAAGACUCUACUCCUAAACUA